rnacentral:rRNA from 1 species
GCAGUAGCCGCGGUAAUGCGAAGGGUGCAAGCGUUAAUCGGAAUUACUGGGCGUAAAGCGUGCGUAGGCGGUUUGUUAAGUCUGUUGUGAAAUCCCCGGGCUCAACCUGGGAAUGGCAAUGGAUACUGGCAAGCUAGAGUGUGUCAGAGGAUGGUGGAAUUCCCGGUGUAGCGGUGAAAUGCGUAGAGAUCGGGAGGAACAUCAGUGGCGAAGGCGGCCAUCUGGGACAACACUGACGCUGAGGCACGAAAGCGUGGGGAGCAAACAGGAUUAGAUACCCCAGUAGUCCCUGUCUCUUAUAA